ACGCACGCUGGCGGCGUGCUUAACACCUGCAAGUCGAACGGAAAGGCCCUGCUUUUGUGGGGUGCUCGAGUGGCGAACGGGUGAGUAACACGUGAGUAACCUGCCCUUGACUUUGGGAUAACUUCAGGAAACAGGGGCUAAUACCGGAUAGGAGCUCCUGCUGCAUGGUGGGGGUUGGAAAGUUUCGGCGGUUGGGGAUGGACUCGCGGCUUAUCAGCUUGUUGGUGGGGUAGUGGCUUACCAAGGCUUUGACGGGUAGCCGGCCUGAGAGGGUGACCGGCCACAUUGGGACUGAGAUACGGCCCAGACUCCUACGGGAGGCAGCAGUGGGGAAUAUUGCACAAUGGGCGGAAGCCUGAUGCAGCAACGCCGCGUGCGGGAUGACGGCCUUCGGGUUGUAAACCGCUUUCGCCUGUGACGAAGCGUGAGUGACGGUAAUGGGUAAAGAAGCACCGGCUAACUACGUG
rnacentral:rRNA from 1 species